rnacentral:tRNA from 2 species
GGUCCAGUGGUAAAGUGGUUGACUACGCCUCCCUGUCACGGAGGAGAUCGCGGGUUCGAUUCCCGUCUGGACCGCCA